AAAGCGAAAGAAAAAUAUCUGUGUGUGUAUAUAUAUAUAAAAAAAAAUGACGGAAAAAUACUUCUGCACCGUGGGUGGGUGAAAACACUUCGGAGUUUUGUCAACCGAAACAAAAAAAAAAAUAAAAAUAAUAAUAAUAAUAAUAAAAACGCGAGAAGUAAAACGCAUUUUCAUUGUGUUAAAAGCUUAAAUAGUAUAUUAUAAUACUUUUAUCGAUUCCGAACCUAUACGAAAACGUGAGCCGAGCGGAUGCACUUUC